rnacentral:rRNA from 1 species
AACGAACGCUGGCGGCAUGCCUAACACAUGCAAGUCGAACGAGACCUUCGGGUCUAGUGGCGCACGGGUGCGUAACGCGUGGGAAUUUGCCCUUGGGUUCGGAAUAACAGUGAGAAAUUACUGCUAAUACCGGAUGAUGUCUUCGGACCAAAGAUUUAUCGCCCAGGGAUGAGCCCGCGUAGGAUUAGCUAGUUGGUGGGGUAAUGGCCUACCAAGGCGACGAUCCUUAGCUGGUCUGAGAGGAUGAUCAGCCACACUGGGACUGAGACACGGCCCAGACUCCUACGGGAGGCAGCAGUGGGGAAUAUUGGACAAUGGGCGCAAGCCUGAUCCAGCAAUGCCGCGUGAGUGAUGAAGGCCUUAGGGUUGUAAAGCUCUUUUACCCGGGAUGAUAAUGACAGUACCGGGAGAAUAAGCUCCGGCUAACUCCGUG